rnacentral:rRNA from 1 species
AUUGAACGCUGGCGGCAGGCCUAACACAUGCAAGUCGAGCGGAUGAAGGGAGCUUGCUCCUGGAUUCAGCGGCGGACGGGUGAGUAAUGCCUAGGAAUCUGCCUGGUAGUGGGGGAUAACGUCCGGAAACGGGCGCUAAUACCGCAUACGUCCUGAGGGAGAAAGUGGGGGAUCUUCGGACCUCACGCUAUCAGAUGAGCCUAGGUCGGAUUAGCUAGUUGGUGGGGUAAAGGCCUACCAAGGCGACGAUCCGUAACUGGUCUGAGAGGAUGAUCAGUCACACUGGAACUGAGACACGGUCCAGACUCCUACGGGAGGCAGCAGUGGGGAAUAUUGGACGAUGGGCGAAAGCUUGAUCCAGCCAUGCCGCGUGUGUGAAGAAGGUCUGCGGAUUGUAAAACACUUUUAGUUGGGAGGAAGGGCAGUAAGUUAAUACCUUGCUGUUUUGACGUUACCAACAGAAUAAGCACCGGCUAACUUCGUG